AUGUGGUAGGGUGUGUUUUGUGGCUCAGCUGCACGGGAGGGGUGGAGUAGUGGGUUCAGGGGUGGUGUCAGAGGAGGCUGACUUACACAGCUGAUCUCCAUUGUCUAAUCAUGCCUUCCCUAUGUGAGCAAGUUACUGGGACUUGAGAAGAGGACUGUGUGGUGUGGACUGAGCAAGUGGCAUAGAGCAUGAGCUCGCAAAGGGAGCUCAAGAGCUGUGCACAAAAAGUUGUGAGUUGGGACUUGUCUUCUUGUCAUGUGUGGAUGGACCCGUGAUGGGCACAGCCGCUAUGCAUCGGGAGCAGGUGGCAGCACAUCAGUGACAGCUCAGUACCCCAUUAGAUCCUGGAUGAAACACUCGCUCAUCCUAUCUUUAAUCAAAAGUUACGCUAGUUGUGAUGUUUGAUCAAACUCAGAAGAGAGGGGUAACAGACAACCAUUUGUGGAAUUUCCUUCCCAGCUUUUAGUGCUUGAAAUUCUUCUGGACUUCACUUUCAACUGAGCCAUCCUAUCGCCUUACUGCUCUAGCCCUCGGCAUCAGCUAGGACCGCGUGCACCUGGACCAAUUAUGGUUACUGGAAGAUGGAGCCUCAUCCAGGUCUGAUGUGGUAACAAAACCCCAGCCCUACCUCUACUCCAGUUGCCCAUAACUGAAUGGUCUUCAGCAACCUGACUCCAAGACUACAGAGCGACUAGAAAUACAGAGAGAGAUCUACAAAGGGCGAUCAAAUGUUUAAUCUCGUUUUUUGCAGGAAUCUUUCAGUUUUAAAGUAUAUGAAAAUCUGUACAGAUUUUGUAUGAUAAAAUUAUUCAGAUAAGGGUUAGAAGCGAAGUGACUUCUGAAUAAUGAAAGACUGAAUCUCUAACGAAAGCCACAUAACCAAUAAGAAUUUAUUGUCACAAGCACAAUUUGUUACACAAAAAUUAUGGGUCACAUUUACACAUUUUAUACAGAUCUAGAACUCAAUGUACAAUUAACCUACUAACUAAAUACCAAUAGUUAAAUAUGCACUCACAUUGGACACAAUAUCAUUAAAACCUACACAAAAAUGUACUGUGUGAAAGUAACACGAGUCGACAUAAAAAUCACAUUAUUUACAACAACAUAAAAAACCAAAAAAACCCAUCAAUUUGAGAUCUUUAGCAAAAGGAUGUUUGAAGGUUCUCCCAUCUGUCUGAGACAUUAUACAAUCUGGCAUGUAAAAGCUCCCCCACUACAAAGUUUUAGUCAGUCUCUUAAUUGUUGAAAAGAUUAUAAAGUAAUAAAUUCAAGUAGCGAGAGCUGAAGAACACCGAAUACACUAGUUUAUACUGCGCUUUGCUAGGACGGUAUGGCGGUUUUUCCCUUUUUAAAGCAGGCUGGUGUGAUUAGCAGUUAGCUUCAUGAAGUGCACUUCAAGCCUUAGCAACUUUCUGCAAUGAGAUUUUUGUAAAAAAUUUUGUUCCAUGUAUACAGAGAAUCCUUCUAUGGGCGCAUCAAGUUUUCUUUCUAGAGAUUACGACAUCACUACAUAUAGGUAAUACAAUAAGGUUGAUGGAGAGAGCGGUUGCAGCAUCAACUGGAGGUGAGCAUCUCAUCUCCCGCUGCUGUUUGGCAGAGUCGGUAAUGAUGUGCAAGAGGCCAUUUCAGACAGAUGGAGGUGGACAUCGUCAACCCUUUAUGUAACCUAUGAUUCUGCCAUUUGUCCGGCACUGAAAACAUUUUCUGUCAUGUUAGGUAGUGAUACAUGGAAGCUAUAACAAAACUGAGACAAACAGACCCAGUUAAAGUUACCGCUACGCUGGUGUAGAAACUCUGUCACCAUUAUACACUGUAUAAAAGAUGACUACAGGCUGCGGAUCUUAAACGCAGAGGCAGAGCAAAGAUGCCAGACACUUGCAUUUUUUCCCUAAUAAUCAACAGUCGGAGUGACCAC